rnacentral:rRNA from 1 species
AGUGAACGCUGGCGGUAGGCCUAACACAUGCAAGUCGAACGGCAGCACAGUAAGAGCUUGCUCUUACGGGUGGCGAGUGGCGGACGGGUGAGGAAUACAUCGGAAUCUACUUUUUCGUGGGGGAUAACGUAGGGAAACUUACGCUAAUACCGCAUACGACCUACGGGUGAAAGCAGUGGAUCUUCGCACCUUGCGCGAUUGAAUGAGCCGAUGUCGGAUUAGCUAGUUGGCGGGGUAAAGGCCCACCAAGGCGACGAUCCGUAGCUGGUCUGAGAGGAGGAUCAGCCACACUGGAACUGAGACACGGUCCAGACUCCUACGGGAGGCAGCAGUGGGGAAUAUUGGACAAUGGGCGCAAGCCUGAUCCAGCCAUACCGCGUGGGUGAAGAAGGCCUUCGGGUUGUAAAGCCCUUUUGUUGGGAAAGAAAAGCAGCAGGUUAAUACCCCGCUGUUCUGACGGUACCCAAAGAAUAAGCACCGGCUAACUUCGUG